GUGGCGUCUUUCUGAACUCUCUCGACCGUCUGAGCUUCUCCAACAGCAGGACGUCCAUAGUAACCAGACCCCAUCCAGGUUUCUACGACGGUCGACCACCUUUCGGAUUUCAUCCGAGCUCCUACAAGAACCAGAUCUCUAUCCCGAACUUCUAUUGCAAGCGGACUUCAUCCGAGCUCCUACAAGAGUCGGACUCCAUCCGAACUUCUACAGUGGAUGGAUCACAGACGAACUCCUACAACGGAUGGGUUCCACCAGUCGGAUCUCUACUCCGAACUUCUUCCAGACUUCGUCAAUGACUGAGCUUCUCCAGCAGCAGGACUUCUACAAUAAGAAGUUUCCAUCCGAGCUUCCACAACAACCGAUCUUCGUCCGAGCUUCUAUAAUAAGAGGACUCCUUUCAGACUCCUACAAAAGUCAGACUCCAUCCGAACUUCUACAGCAGAAUUGAAUGUUGAAUUCUAAACUCCUCCGAUGUUCGACCUUCCAUAGUGUCCUCAAGACUCGUCCAGCGGACAAACCUCCACAAUGCCAUCCGAACUCCACUGUCGGAUGACCCCC
rnacentral:lncRNA from 1 species